AGUAAAUAGAUACCCUGGUAGUCCUAGCCGUAAACGAUGGAUACUAGGUGUUAGAGGUAUCGACCCCUCUAGUGCCGGAGCUAAACGCAUUAAGUAUCCCGCCUGGGGAGUACGACCGCAAGGUUGAAACUCAAAGGAAUUGACGGGGGCCCGCACAAGCGGUGGAGCAUGUGGUUUAAUACGUCACUAACCGUAGAACCUUACCCAGGCUUGACAUCUAGGGAAUCUUGGUGAAAGCCGAGAGUGCCUUCGGGAGCCCUAAGACAGGUGUUGCAUGGCUGUCGUCAGCUCGUGUCGUGAGAUGUUGGGUUAAGUCCCGCAACGAGCGCAACCCUCAUCCGAUGUUGCCAGCGUAAAGUCGGGAACUCUUCGGAAACUGCCCGUGUAAGCGGGAGGAAGGUGGGGAUGACGUCAAGUCAGCAUGGCCCUUACGCCUGGGGCUACACACAUGCUACAAUGGGCGCUAACAAAGGGCAGCAAUACCGCGAGGUGGAGCGAAUCUCAAAAAUGCGUCCUCAGUUCGGAUUGUAGUCUGCAA
rnacentral:rRNA from 1 species